UGCGAGUCAUUGUAGUAAUACAAGGCAGACGGCUCAGUAACGCGUAGUCAACCUAACCUAUGGACGGGAAUAACCUCGGGAAACUGAGUAUAAUGCCCGAUAGAACAUUAUACCUGGAAUGGUUUAUGUUCCAAAUGAUUUAUCGCCGUAGGAUGGGACUGCGGCCUAUCAGUUUGUUGGUGAGGUAAUGGCCCACCAAGACUAUUACAGGUACGGGCUCUGAGAGGAGUAGCCCGGAGAUGGGUACUGAGACACGGACCCAGGCCCUAUGGGGCGCAGCAGGCGAGAAAACUUUGCAAUGUGCGAAAGCACGACAAGGUUAAUCCGAGUGGUUUCUGCUAAAGGAACCUUUUGUCGGUCCUAGAAACACCGAUGAAUAAGGGGUGGGCAAGUUCUGGUGUCAGCCGCCGCGGUAAAACCAGCACCUCAAGUGGUCAGGAUGAUUAUUGGGCCUAAAGCAUCCGUAGCCGGCUUUGUUAGUUUUCGGUUAAAUCUGUACGCUCAACGUACAGGCUGCCGGGAAUACUGCAGAGCUAGGGAGUGGGAGAGGUAGACGGUACUCGGUAGGAAGGGGUAAAAUCCUUUGAUCUAUUGAUGACCACCUGUGGCGAAGGCGGUCUACCAGAACACGUCCGACGGUGAGGGAUGAAAGCUGGGGGAGCAAACCGGAUUAGAUACCCGGGUAGUCCCAGCUGUAAACUAUGCAAACUCAGUGAUGCAUUGGCUUGUGGCCAAUGCAGUGCUGCAGGGAAGCCGUUAAGUUUGCCGCCUGGGAAGUACGUACGCAAGUAUGAAACUCAAAUGAAUUGA
rnacentral:rRNA from 1 species